CAGUCGCCGCGGUAAUACGUAGGGUGCGAGCGUUAAUCGGAAUUACUGGGCGUAAAGCGUGCGCAGGCGGUUUGUUAAGACAGAUGUGAAAUCCCCGGGCUCAACCUGGGAACUGCAUUUGUGACUGGCAAGCUAGAGUCUGGCAGAGGGGGGUGGAAUUCCGCGUGUAGCAGUGAAAUGCGUAGAUAUGCGGAGGAACACCGAUGGCGAAGGCAGCCCCCUGGGCCAACACUGACGCUCAUGCACGAAAGCGUGGGGAGCAAACAGGAUUAGAGACCCCUGUAGUCCCUGUCUCUUAUAC
rnacentral:rRNA from 1 species